rnacentral:rRNA from 1 species
UACGGAGGGUGCGAGCGUUGUCCGGAAUCACUGGGCGUAAAGGGCGCGUAGGCGGCCUGAUAAGUAGGGGGUGAAAUCCUGCGGCUUAACCGCAGGGCUGCCUUCUAAACUGUCAGGCUGGAGCACAGUAGAGGCAGGUGGAAUUCCCGGUGUAGCGGUGAAAUGCGCAGAUAUCGGGAAGAACACCCGUGGCGAAGGCGGCACUCUGGGACGGUACUGACGCUGAGACGCGAAAGCGUGGGGAGCGAACAGG